UACGGCUCAGUAACACGUAGCUAACCUGCCCUUAGGUCAAGAAUACCCUCGGGAAACUGAGGUUAAAUCUUGAUAGAAAAUUUUUCCUGGAAUGGUUUAUUUUUGAAACUCGAGCCUAAGGAUGGGGCUGCGGCUGAUUAGGUUGUUGUUGGGGUAAAAGCCUAACAAGCCGAUGAUCAGUAAGGGCUCUUAGCGGAGAAGCCCUGAGAAGGAAUCUGAGACACUAUUCCUAGCUCUACGGGGUGCAGCAGUCGAGGAACUUUUACAAUGCUCGAAAGAGUGAUAGAAUUAGCCAGAGUGUUUCUCAUAGAGAAACUUUUGCCAAAUGUAAAAAGUUUGGCGAAUAAGGACUGGGCAAGACCGGUGCCAGCCGCCGCGGUAAUACCGGCGGUCCGAGUCGCAUCCACAUUUAUUGGGUCUAAAACAUUCGUAGCUUGUUUUGUAAGUUUCUUGUGAAAUCCUGUAUCUCAAAUUCAGGGCGCGCAAGAAAUACUACAUUGCUAGAGACCGGAAGACGCAAAGAGUACGGAGGAGGUAGUGGUAAAAUAUGUUAAUCUCCUCUGGACUAACAAUGGCGAAGGCACUUUGCGAGUACGGAUCUGACAGUGAGGGAUGAAGGCCAGGGGCGCAAAAGGGAUUAGAUACCCCUGUAGUCCUGGCAGUAAACACUGCUCACUAAACAUUGGGAUCUCCUCGAGAGAUUUCAGUGCUGUAGGGAAGCCGAAGAGUGAGCUACCUGGGAAGUAUAGUCGCAAGACCGAAACUUAAAGGAAUUGGCGGGGGAGCAC
rnacentral:rRNA from 1 species